GAAACUUCGCGCGCCUGACUCCGCCCCUCGGAAGUCCUGCCCUUUGGGCUGCGGGAGGUUUCCACGGUGAUGGUAAACAAUCUCGAGUCUGCAUGGACUCUGACUGCCAAGCCCUUGGGGUUCCACCUUCUAAGUGCUGGGAGUAUUACCUAGGGUCCAGGUGUGAGAGCCGGCGCGUGGAGACUCGGUGCUCGAGGUGGUAAGAUUAAUCUGGUUCCUGAUCCUCAAUCCCUUUUGGCCAGAAGUGGAAAACUGAAGAAAUGAGGCGUUUGUUUCAUCUUUUGUUGAACUCUUAAUAGAAGAGUAAAUGAAAUAUGACCCUGAAAAUUACACAAUGACUCAUCUGUGUGGUAUAUUCUGUUCUAUCCUGUGGUAUCAUUGCCUGGAAGGAAACACCAAUAUCCUGGACUGGGAACUUGAAGAAGGCUGCCCUCACAGGGACCUUGUGUUACCUAUCCUGGGAUUGGACUCAGAUUGGUUGCCCAAGCUCAGAUGUCCCACUCUGCCCUUACCUGCCCCUGGGUGAGGUGUCAAACAGUGAGUUGUCCACAGGAUACUACAUUUAACAAGUUCAUUUUAUAUUUCUACAACCACUCUAUUUUAUUUUAUUUUAGUGAUAUUGAGUGGGAUUGAACCCAGGGCCUUGUGCACGGGAAGCAAGUACUUUACCACUAAGCUAUGUCACCAGCCCUUUAUACAACCAAUUUUUAUUUGUUCUUAGAAAUGUCUUCACCUCCCCCCACCAAAAUUACACCUUGAAUUGGUCAUGGUGGUGUACGCCUGUACUCCCAGCAACUCUGGAGGCUGGGACAGGAAGGUUGUAAGUUUGAGGCCAACCUCAGCAACUUAGGCUCUAAGCAAUUUAGUGAAACCCUGUCUUAAAAUAAAAAAUAAAAAGUGCUGGGAAUGUAGCUUAGUGGUACAGUGCCCCUGGGUUUAAUCCACUGUAUCCUCUCCCCCCCCAAAAAAAAUUACGCCUUGAUACAUAAUGCCAUGUGAAUAGAAUUUUAUCAAAUUAUUAUUGUUGAAUGUAAAAGUAAUUGAUUUGUCAUAUGUUUCUUGUGAUUCAUUUAGAUAUUUCAAGUAUCUCACCAAUAUUUUAUGUUUUUUCCCCCAUUUUCUUGGUCUUCGGUUAGUUUUUUUGUGUGUGUGUGCAUGAUACUGAGGAUGAACUCAGGCCUCACGCAUGCUAGGCAAGUAUUCAACCACUUGGCUAUAGCUCCUACCCUUCAUUUAGGUUUUAUAAACAUAACCUCUUUUUUGGGGAAAAUAUCUGGGGAUUCAACCUAGUACCUUGAACAUGCUAAGCAUGUGCUCUACCACUGAGUUACACACCUGGUACCACCACUUUUUCUUGAAUUAUUGCAUUAGGAAUUUUGGGACAACUAGGCAUGAUGUUACAUGCCUGUACUUCCAGAGAUUCAAGAGGCUUAGGCAGGAGGAUCCCAAGUUCAAGGCCAAUCUCAGCAACUUAGUGAGACCCUGUCUCAAAAAAUAAAAAGAAAGUGGUUGUAUUGUUGUGUGUCUGUAAUCAUAGAAAUUUAGGGAGGAUGAGAUGGGAGAUAAGCAAGUUCAAGGCUAGCCUUGGCAAUUUAGGGGAGAACCUUACCAACUUACUUAGACCCUCGGUAACUUAGCAAGACCUUGUCUCAAAAAAAUAAAAAGGGCUGGGGAUGUAGCUCAGUGGUAAAGUGCCCCUGGGUUCUAUCGCCAGUACUGCAAAAAAAGAAAUUUGAGAUGAGCCUGGUGUGGUGACAUGCUCCUGAAAUCCCAGCUAUUCAGGUGUCUGAGAGCAAGAUUGAGAGUUCGAAGCUAGCCUGAGGUCCUGCCUCCAAACUUAAAAAGAUGGGGAUAUAACUCAGUGAUAGAGGGUUUGCCUGGUAUGCUGCAGACUCUGAGUUGAAUCCUGGGUACAGAAAAAAGUAAGUAAAAGUAAACAACAGUGAAAAUGAUUGCAGGUGUAGCUCAGAGGUAGAGUGCUUGCCUAGCAGGUGUGAGGCCCUGAAUUCAAUCCCUAAUACUGAAUAAAAGAAUUUGGGUGGGACAAUCGUUAGUAAGUCCUUUGGUACCAAACUUUAUUUGAUGGAGUUCUUUUAGUGUUACAUCCUUAGGUCAAAUGUUAUAUGAGGGAAGCUAGCUGCCAUGUUAAGAGGCCCGCAUGGCAAGGAAUUGAUGUCUCUGCCAAUAGCCAUUUUAGCAAGCUAUCUGGGACACAAGUCCUCCAGCCUUGAUCAAGCUUUUAGAUGACUGCGUUCCAUCCUAGCUGAAAGUCAGACUGCAAAUUCAUGAGAGACUUCUAGCCACAACCACCAGCUGAAACUGCUUGAAAUGGUAUGAGAUUAUGUUUUAAGGCACUAAAUUAUGGGUGAUUUAUUAUACUCUAAUAACUAAUAAACCAACUGCAGAACUUGUGACUUUAAAAAAGAAUUGAGUUAAAAUGCACAGUUGGUUCCACUUUUGUUUUUUGUACCAAAGUAGUUUGCUGUACACUUCUGAAAUUUUUGACAUCACCAUAUUAGUAGAACAUCAAAUAAAGAACUAAUACAGUUAACUUAGCAAAAAACAGGAUAACAUGGGUGUGUGUGUGGGAUGUAACUCAGUGUUAUAACUCAGUGUUAAACAUUUGCCUAGCAUGCAUGAGGACCUGGGUUUUGUCCCUAGUACUGAAAAAAACAACAACAACAAAAAAAACCCAAACCAGGAAAACAGCACCACUUACUCUGAGAUAUAUCAUCCUUUUUGUAGCAACCAUUUUUCUCAUUUUUUUUUUUUUAUCAGUUUCCUUUCACUUAGUUCCUCUGGCUACAGGUGGCAGUGUUAGCAUGUCCCUUGUCAGCUAUUUCUUCUAU